AACGAACGCUGGCGGCAUGCCUAACACAUGCAAGUCGAACGAGACCUUCGGGUCUAGUGGCGCACGGGUGCGUAACGCGUGGGAACCUGCCCUUAGGUUCGGAAUAACUCCCCGAAAGGGGUGCUAAUACCGGAUAAUGUCUUCGGACCAAAGAUUUAUCGCCUUUGGAUGGGCCCGCGUUGGAUUAGCUAGUUGGUAGGGUAAAAGCCUACCAAGGCGACGAUCCAUAGCUGGUCUGAGAGGAUGAUCAGCCACACUGGGGCUGAGACACGGCCCAGACUCCUACGGGAGGCAGCAGUGGGGAAUAUUGGACAAUGGGCGAAAGCCUGAUCCAGCAAUGCCGCGUGAGUGAUGAAGGCCUUAGGGUUGUAAAGCUCUCUUACCCGGGAUGAUAAUGACAGUACCGGGAGAAUAAGCUCCGGCUAACUCCGUG
rnacentral:rRNA from 1 species